GAGAAGGGGAGGUGACAGUGGGAUGACAGACAGGAUGACAGGUGGAUGAGAAGGGGAGGUGAACAGUGGGAUGACAGACAGGAUGACAGGUGGAUGAGAAGGGGAAGUGACAGUGGGAUGACAGACAGGAUGACAGGUGGAUGAGAAGGGGAAGUGACAGUGGGAUGACAGACAGGAUGACAGGUGGAUGAGAAGGGGAGGUGACAGUGGGAUGACAGACAGGAUGACAGGUGGAUGAGAAGGGGAAGUGACAGUGGGAUGACAGACAGGAUGACAGGUGGAUGAGAGGGGAGGUGACAGUGGG